rnacentral:rRNA from 1 species
GAUGAACGCUAGCUACAGGCUUAACACAUGCAAGUCGAGGGGCAGCGGGUUGAAAGCUUGCUUUCAAUGCCGGCGACCGGCGCACGGGUGCGUAACGCGUAUCAAACCUGCCUCAUACUCGGGGAUAGCCUUGCGAAAGUAAGAUUAAUACCCGAUGUUGUUGCUUUCUCGCAUGGGGGAGUAACCAAAGAUUUAUCGGUAUGAGAUGGUGAUGCGUCCGAUUAGGUAGUAGGCGGGGUAACGGCCCACCUAGCCUUCGAUCGGUAGGGGUUCUGAGAGGAAGGUCCCCCACACUGGAACUGAGACACGGUCCAGACUCCUACGGGAGGCAGCAGUGAGGAAUAUUGGUCAAUGGGCGAGAGCCUGAACCAGCCAAGUAGCGUGCAGGAUGACGGCCCUCCGGGUUGUAAACUGCUUUUAGUUGGGAAUAAAAAAAGGGACUUGUCCCUUCUUGUAUGUACCUUCAGAAAAAGGACCGGCUAAUUCCGUGCCAGCAGCCGCGGUAAUACGGAAGGUCCAGGCGUUAUCCGGAUUUAUUGGGUUUAAAGGGAGCGUAGGCGGAUUGUUAAGUCAGCGGUUAAAGGGUGUGGCUCAACCAUGCAUUGCCGUUGAAACUGGCGAUCUUGAGUGCAGACAGGGAUGCCGGAAUUCGUGGUGUAGCGGUGAAAUGCUUAGAUAUCACGAAGAACUCCGAUCGCGAAGGCAGGUGUCCGGGCUGCAACUGACGCUGAGGCUCGAAAGUGUGGGUAUCAAACAGG